UGGAAAUGGGCCUAAGGGACGAGGCAAACCUAAAUGGCAAUCCAAGGCAAAAGUUCCUAAGAAAAUAGUUCCUAAGGAAGGAAUCUGCUUCCAUUGCAAGGAACCAGGGCAUUGGAAGAGAAAUUGCAAACUCUAUUUGGAUGAGUACAAAGAAGAGUAGUGAGACUACGACUUCAGGUAUUUAUGUUAUAGAUAUUAAUUUAUCUAUUUCUACUUCAUGGGUAUUAGAUACCGGAUGUGGCUCUCACAUUUGUACAAAUGUGAAGGGUCUUAAAAGGAGUAGAAAACUGAAAAAGGGCGAUGUGGACCUACGUGUAGGCAAUGGAG
rnacentral:lncRNA from 1 species